AGAGUGAACGCUGGCGGUAGGCCUAACACAUGCAAGUCGAACGGCAGCACAGUGGUAGCAAUACCAUGGGUGGCGAGUGGCGGACGGGUGAGGAAUACAUCGGAAUCUACCUUUUCGUGGGGGAUAACGUAGGGAAACUUACGCUAAUACCGCAUACGCCCUUCGGGGGAAAGCCGGGGAUCGCAAGACCUGGCGCGGAUAGAUGAGCCGAUGUCGGAUUAGCUAGUUGGUGAGGUAAUGGCUCACCAAGGCGACGAUCCGUAGCUGGUCUGAGAGGAUGAUCAGCCACACUGGAACUGAGACACGGUCCAGACUCCUACGGGAGGCAGCAGUGGGAAUAGUUGGACAAUGGGCGCAAGCCUGAUCCAGCCAUACCGCGUGGGUGAAGAAGGCCUUCGGUGUAAAGUCCGUUUUAGUGGUAAAAGAAAGCAAUCGGUUAAUACCCGGUUGUUCUGACGUACCCAAAGAAUAAGCACCGG
rnacentral:rRNA from 1 species